rnacentral:rRNA from 1 species
GACGAACGCUGGCGGCGUGCCUAAUACAUGCAAGUAGAACGCACAGUUUAUACCGUAGCUUGCUACACCAUAAACUGUGAGUUGCGAACGGGUGAGUAACGCGUAGGUAACCUGCCUGGUAGCGGGGGAUAACUAUUGGAAACGAUAGCUAAUACCGCAUAAUAUUGAUUAUUGCAUGAUAAUUGAUUGAAAGAUGCUAUUGCAUCACUACCAGAUGGACCUGCGUUGUAUUAGCUAGUAGGUGAGGUAACGGCUCACCUAGGCGACGAUACAUAGCCGUCCUGAGAGGGUGAUCGGCCACACUGGGACUGAGACACGGCCCAGACUCCUACGGGAGGCAGCAGUAGGGAAUCUUCGGCAAUGGACGAAAGUCUGACCGAGCAACGCCGCGUGAGUGAAGAAGGUUUUCGGAUCGUAAAGCUCUGUUGUAAGAGAAGAACGGGUGUGAGAGUGGAAAGUUCACACUGUGACGGUAUCUUACCAGAAAGGGACGGCUAACUAUGUG